AGAACUCGAGUUUGUAAACGAUCAAUAAAAUCGACAGGCCCGUUGUCGUCAUCGGAAUGUUAAACUUAGACUACUUUUAACGCCUGGAUAUAUUGAAAACUCAUUCGGACGUUAUAAUUGCUCGAGUUACCGAAUAGUUUGUAUACUACGUUAAUGUUAUCAAUAACUAUCGUCGAUCAUGACACGUCAAGUGCAUACGCGUUUGUGUAUUGUCGUGAGUAAACAAAAAAUAAAAUAAUAAAUUUCGUUUUGAUUUGAGAGAUGCCAUUGGAGGCACUGAAGCUUACACAACAUUUUGUAGAAAAAGUUAUAUUAUUA